rnacentral:lncRNA from 1 species
GUGUUGUCUUAGAAAAAAAAUUAGAAACCCGUCAGCCUAAAGGUAAUAUUUGUAAUUGAGCAGACUUAAAUUUUGUCUGGAUUAUUAAUUUAGUAAUCAUUUCUGUAGGUAAAGUUCAAACUGAGAAGUCUCAUUUUUCCCAUUAUUAAUCAUUUGAAUAUUCCAUUUACUGAAUAACUAUUAUGUACCAGACUCUGCGGCAAGUGCUUUAUGUGAUUGUCUCAUCUUCCCAACAGCAGGAGGUAGAUACUAUUAUUCAUUUCGCUUCACCCAACGUCCGAGAGGUUAGGGGACAUUUCAAGUUUGCAAGGCUUGAAGCCAGGAUUCAGAACAGGGCUUGCAGAUUCCAGCGAUAACCUCCCCAUGGUGAUGCUCUAUUGCCCGUUUGUUCAGUAAGUUAGAGAAGAGUGGUAUGAGGCAUCUUGCAUCUCCCUCCUUUCGUGGGGAGAGGGGCUGAUGAGAUGGUGCUGUUUGCACAGGUUUGAAGGUGACUCGAGGCCAGAAGAGCAUGGAGAAUUCGAGACGCCCGCAGGCAGCCAGUCUCAGACCCUGCAGUCUGCUUUCUCCUGGGUUUAUCCCUGUGCUCUGUUGGUUUCCAUGGAAGUUGGUUGACCUGGAGACAGAGGUAGAGACCCGAUGUCAGCGCUGGCCUGUGGAAGAUUCCCAUAGGAACUGGUGUGGAUGGGGUGGUGGGGGUAUAGUCCUUUUUUGAAGACUCCCAGUUCUGAAUGCUGCAGUCCAUGGGGGUCCAAAGAGUCAGACACGACUGAGCAACUGAACAACAACAACUUCCAUCCAGAACGGUGAGAAGAUAUAGCAACAACAUAGGUGUGAGGUUGUAUAUGAAUGGGAGAGGUUAGCUCCUUAGAUUGUGGUGUCUCACAGGGAGUGGGCUUAGCAAAGGCACAGUCAUUAAAACUGAUGCGUCUAUAAGAGGAUUCACCUUUAAAAAAAAAGGAGAGGCUGUGAAAAAGCUAAUUGUUUUUGUUAUUGCUGUUGGUGUUAAUUUUUUAUUGGAAUAUAGUUACUUCGGGCUUCCCUGGUGGCUCAGACGGUAAAGAGUCUCCCUGCA